UGAACCAAGGGAGCUUGUACAACAGGCUGAGAGGAAGCAGGGCUUCGACCUUUUAACUUGAUUUGGAUAAUGCCAACGUAAGGAGGAAAAUUUCA
rnacentral:ncRNA from 1 species